rnacentral:rRNA from 2 species
UAGUCAAUGCUCGCAAGAGUGAACUAGCUAACUGAAAUCAAAGAGUUUAUUUAAACUCAUGAUGUCGUAAGGGAAAAUAAUGAUAAUACCUUACUAUUAGUGUCGUCCAAAUCUGGUGCCAGAAGACUCGGUAAGACCAGAGACGCAAACGUUAAUCAUCAUAAUCAGGCGUAAAGGGUUUGUAGGCAGCUCUCAAUUAAUUAAGAGCUAGAAUCAAAAAGAGGUUAUAGUGUAUAACGCCUAGAGGAGGGCUGAUAUCCAUAGAUCCUAGGCAGAAUACUCAGGGCGAAGGCCACUCUCCACUAAUGAUUGACGCUGAGAAACGAAGGUUAGGGUAGGAAAUAGGAUUAGAUACCCCGGUACUCCUUUCUGUAAACGAUGAAUGGUAGUCAUUAGUUUUUUUACUAGAGACGAAGUUAACACAAUAACCAUUCCGCCUUGUGAGUACUACUGCAAAGUAGAAAACAAAAAAAUUAGUCGGUCUCGAAGCAAACGGAGUGAAGCAUGUUAUUUAAU